rfam:Oryza sativa (indica cultivar-group) chromosome 8, whole genome shotgun sequence.
AAUAAGUACAAUUGUGAGUUUCAACGUUCAAUUUUGACCAUCCGUCUUAUUUGAAAUAUUUUUAUGAUUAGUAUUUUUAUUGUUAUUAGAUGAUAAAAUAUAAAUAAUACUUUAUGCGUGACUUAACUUUUAAUUUUUUUUUCAUAAAUUCUUUAAAUAAGACGGACGGUCAAACGUUGGGUAUGAAAACUUAUGGCUGUACUUACA